rnacentral:piRNA from 1 species
AAAGGUUAGACGCUCUCAAGCUCAAGUGACA